AGCAGGGUAGAGCAGAGGCAGCUCAUCGGGCUCAUAUCCCGAAGGUCGCUGGUUCGAAUCCAGCCCCUGCUACCA
rnacentral:tRNA from 1 species